AAAUACUGAAAACAUGAAAUUAAGAUUGGAUAGGAUAACAGAAAGGGGAUGGGAAAUUAGAAGAAAGAAAAGAGAAUGUUGACAUCCUUCGUAACAAUAUUUGCCUGCCUCUGCAAUCUGACUCCCACUAUGCUUUAUAUUCUUUUGCCUAACUAACUCUGUGCAUCUUCACGUGAGUUUCCACCUCCACUCCAAAUGUAAUUUCCUAGCCUUUUUGGAGGAAUGAUUCUUCUGAACCCUUACGUGGCAGCCCCAUGUGAUUGUCCUUUGUGUCUUCCUUGUAGGCAUCCUUGUCAGCAACUAAUUUAUUCACAACAUUACUCCCUCCCAGUGAAGCAACCUUGUCCUCAAGGUUGAAGGUAGAAGGAUCCUCAGAAGCAUCAGAAUCCAUUAACCGCAAGGGAGUAAGCUGUUGGGCAGGAUCGCCAACACACCUUUUCAACAUAGAGAUAUGAAAAACAGAGUGUAUCUUAGCAGCUUCAGGGAGUUCCAAUCUAUAAGCAGCACCACCAAUACGUUUCAGCACCUUAUAAGGAGCAAAAUAUAGCCUACCCAACUUAUGAUCACGCUGUAAACGUAAAGUAGCCUGUCUAUAAGGCUUAAGUUUGACAAACACCCAAUCGCCUACAUCAAAGGAUAUAUCAGUUCGCGACUUGUCCGCCAAAGUUUUCAUACGAUGUUGAGCCUUCAAUAAGUUGUUCUUCAAUAUUUGAAGGACCUCAUCUCGCUGAAGCAAGUAAGACUCCACCACAUCGCUAGCAGUGCUCCCCAGUAUAUACCUAGCAAUGGUGGGUGGUUCACGCCCAUAUAAAGCCUGAAAAGGGGUCAUACCUGCAGAAGUUUGGUAAGAAGUAUUAUACCAGUACUUAGCCCAAGGUAGCAUAGCCACCCACUGAGAAGGCACCUCAGCCACAUAGCACCGUAAGUAUUGUUCCACGCAUUUAUUGAGAGCCUCCGAUUGCCCAUCCGUUUGUGGGUGGUAGGCAGUGCUCAUAGCCAAAGUUGACCCUUGUAGCCGAUUAGUCUCUUGCCAGAAUGAGUGGAGAAAACGAGGAUCACGGUCAGUCACAAUAGUGCGAGGAGGGCCGUGGAGUCUGAUGAUCCCCACCACAAAAGCUUCAGCAACAGUGUGAGUUGAAAAGGUGGAAGGGAGUGGUAGAAAAUGGCCAUAUUUGGUGAGUCGGUCCACCACAGUCAUAAUAGUGGUCUUUCCUUUGGAACUGGGAAGACAAGUUAUGAAAUCCAUCGCAAUAUCUUCAAAGACCUGGUCUGGAAUAGGUAAAGGCUGAAGUAGACCAGCUGGAUGCAAAUGUGAAUCCUUCAUCUGUUGGCAUAUCUGACAAGCUGCUACAAAUGACUGUAUAUCCUUGCGCAUCUGCUUCCAAAAGAAAUUAGAAGCCAAUCGAUGAUAGGUGCGCGCAAUUCCUGCAUGGCCACCAAUAGCUGUGGCAUGAAAUUCAAACAUUUACUUCUGUCGAAGUUCAGAAUCCGAUGGCAACACAAGUCUUCCUUUGUAGAAUAACAAGCCAUCCUUGAAAUGGUAAGUGUUAUGUGUCAACUCUCCCUGGCUUAGUGCUUAUUGAAUCUUCAGUAAUUCAGGAUGGGUCUUAUUCAAGUGUUUCAAUUCUUGUUCAAGUGUGAAGGUAUUGACUGAAAUGACCAACAAGGUAGCAUCUGUGUGACGCGAAAGUGCAUCGGCUGCAGAAUUAUGUUUCCCAGGUCGGUAUACAAUACGAAAGUCAUAGCCCACUAGCUUCGUGAGCCAUUUUUGUUGUUCCGGUGUUUGUAUAGUUUGCGUAGUUAGGUUCCUUAGUGACUGCUGAUCUGUGAAGAUGGUAAAUUGACGCCCCAAUAGAUACUGCCUCCAGUUACUCACAGCCUGAGUAAUAGCAAACAUCUCUCUAUGAUAUGUUGAAGCUUUUUGCAUCCGUGGACUUAUCUUUUGACUGAAAUACGCAAUGGGAUGACCUCUUUGUGAUAAAAUAGCACCAAUUCCAUGCCCCGAUGCAUCUGUUUCUACGUGAAACUCCUGGCUAAAAUCCGGCAAGGUUAGGACAGGUGUGGACCCUAAUUUAUGCUUUAGAGAAUCAAAUGCAUGCUGCUCUAUAUCAGUCCAUAUGAAAGCAUCUUUGCGCAACAAAUCUGAUAAAGGCCCAGCUAUAGCAGCGUAGUGGUGAAUGAAACGCCGGUAAUAGCCAGCAAGCCCAAGAAAACUACGAACUUCCCUCACUGAGCGAGGAGGAGGCCAUUGCUGAAUUGCUUUGAUUUUAACAGGAUCUACAGCUAGACCUUGUGCUGAUAGAAUGUGACCCAAAUAUUCCACUGAAGUCUGUCCAAACAAACACUUGGACUGUGUGGCCACAAGCUGGUGUUUGCGUGAUAGCUGUAAUACAAUAGCUAGAUGCUCCAAGUGGUCACCCCAAGAAUUGCUAUAAACUAAGAUGUCGUCGAAGAAUACCAGCACAAAGCGUCGCAGAUAGGGCCGGAAUACCUCAUUCAUAGUAGCUUGGAAUGUGGAAGGGGCAUUGGUUAGUCCGAAAGGCAUUACUAAAAAUUCGCAGUGCCCAUCAUGGGUGCGGAAAGUCGUCUUAGCCACAUCUUCGGGCCUAACCCUGAUUUGAUGGUAUCCUGAUAAGAGAUCCAACUUGGAGAAAUAUUGGGCACCAUGUAAUUCAUCAAACAAUUCAUCAAUAGUUGGAAUUGGGAAGCGAUCGCGUAUAGUGAUAGCAUUCAAAGCACGAUAAUCAACACAAAAUCUCCAUGUGCCAUCUUUCUUGCGGCCCAAUAACACCGGCAGAGAAAAAGGGCAAGUGCUAGGCCUGAUCACUCCUUCCUUGAGCAUCUCAGCGACUAACUGCUCCAUAACUUGCUUUUGAAAAUAGGGGUACCUGUAAGGCUUCACAUUCAUAGGUUGUGCCCCGGGGUGAAGGUGUAUGCUAUGGUCCUGCUCACGUGAUGGUGGUAAGCCUGUUGGUUUCUGAAAGAAACACAUCAGCAUAAUCACCUAGGAGACCUCUUAAUCAGCAGUUGAUGCCCCGACACAAGGAAUUUCUUCUGUAACCCUCUCAAGACGAAAGAAAGAGGCAAUAGCAUCUGUGGCCGCCAUGCGCCUCAAACUAUGCAGUUGUAUCGGUUGGGCAUCUGUUGGACAAUCCCCCUGCCAAGUUCUGGUGGUUCCAUCCCUGGUAAAUUCGAAUAUCCUCUUUGCAUAAUCAGUUAGGACUGGCCCUAGAGAGGCUAGCCAUGCCACUCCCAAUACAACAUCGGCUCCAUGGAAAGGCAAAACAUAAAAAUCCUCCACCAAGGUACUCCCCUGAAUUUCAAGUGAGUGUUGUCGCACCACCCCCUCAGAGCGGAGUCGUUGUCCACUUCCGACCAUGACAGAAAUUGGAUGGAUAGACUCAACAGGGAGUCGGAGAUGUUUAGCAGCUCGAGUCUGAACAAAAUUAUGUGUACUACCUCCAUCGACCAACACUUGCACCGGAGAACCAUUAAUCUGACCAGUGAAUCGCAGAGUGGAUGGGGAAAUUCCUCCAGUUAGUGCAUGAUACGAAAUAGACGAAUGCUCUUGCAAUUCUAAGCAUUGUAGCUCCUCCGCCAGAAAAUCAUCAGAAACGUAAGAAUCAUGGUGAUUAGGAUCAGUUUCGUGCUCAUUAGUGAGAUGGAGAAGCUGGGGUGGGGUCUUGCAUUUGUGGCCAGCCGUGUAUUUUACUUCGCAAUAAUAGCACAACCCCGUUCCUGGCGACUCUGCAUCUCGGCAUGAGAUAAGCGUUUGAGGGGUGGGCGAUUUGGUGCAUUAGGGACAGUUGAGACGAGAGGAUUUGAGGGCCUGAGGGUGAGGGGUGCUGAAUUAGGGGUUGGUAUCAGGGAUGGAGUUUUGGCAAAAACGGGUCGGAACGAACCUUUUUCAGCAUGUAUCCGCCGUCCGUGGAUAUGGGCUAAGUCAAGAGUUUCUUCAUAACUUUUGGGCUUAUGGACCAAAACCGAAUUCUUAAUAUCCUCACGAAGCCCAGAAAUAAAGAGACGUACCAUUCUGCUAUCAGUCAUGUCGUCGGUUUCAUUUGCAAGUGUCUCAAAUCUCGCCUAAAAAUUAGAAACGGUGGUUGUCUGCCGGAGUUUUGCAAGUCGGCCCUCUACAGACUCCCGUCCUUUCUGAUAAUAGCGGUUUCGCACCUUCACAGCAAAAUGCUCCCGGUCAACGAGUUGCUUGUUCCGAAACAGCCAUCGAUACCACUCCAACGCAUCACCGUCGAGAUAAAACGAUGCGAUUGUUAGACGUUGGUUCUCUGCUAUUUUGUAAAAGUCGAAGUAUCUCUCCGCUUGAAAUAUCCAAGCCUCUGGUUUUUCCCCAUGGAAACGUCCUAUCUCCACCGAUGCCGGUUUAUGACGAAGAGGAGGAGCAGUUGUGCCACGGUCAUCGGAGAGAUCAAUUUUUCGUCCCACCACCUCCAUUAACAGAGACCGAAUGUCCUCCAGUUCCUUAGCAAAAGCGCCCGUUGCCACCUUAACAGAUUCAUCCACAAUAGACUUGAGUUUGUGGUCAUCCAUGGAAGACCUCUGGAUGAAAGCACCAAUGUAAUAGUAGCCAAAAUCUCCAGUAGUAUUAAUAGAAUUGAACUCAAUUACAAUCACAAUCCGUAGGAAUAACUCUCAAGCUACUACUAUCAAUGAAAAUACUGAAAACAUGAAAUUAAGAUUGGAUAGGAUAACAGACAGGGGAUGGGAAAUUAGAAGAAAGAGAAGAGAAUGUUGACAUCCUUACAAUAUUUGACUGCUUAUGCUUUAACUAACUCUGUGCAUCUUCACGUGAGUUUCCACCUCCACUCUAAAUGUAAUCUCCUAACCUUUUUGGAGGAAUGAUUCUUCUAGAACCCUUACGUCGCAGCCCCAUGUGAUUGUCCUUUGUGUCUUCCUUGUAGCAUCCUUGUCA
rnacentral:lncRNA from 1 species